rnacentral:misc_RNA from 1 species
ACGAGUUAGGGUCUCACCGGCCCGAUCUCCCAACCCUUUGUCUACUUGACCAUCGUUGCUUCGGCGAGUCCGUCCUCACGGACCGCCGGAGGGCCUUCAUCAGCCCUCUGGCCCGCGCUCGUCGAUAGCCCAACCUUAAAAAAUCUUAACUAAACGUGUCUUGAAUCUAAGUAUUAUUGUUAAAUAAAAACA